rnacentral:rRNA from 1 species
UUUCGCACCGGAUACUGGCAAGCUAGAGUGCAGAAGAGGCAAGGGGAAUUCCCAGUGUAGCGGUGAAAUGCGUAGAUAUUGGGAGGAACACCGGUGGCGUAAGCGCCUUGCUGGGCUGUUACUGACGCUGAGGAACGAAAGCCGGGGGAGCGAAUGGGAUUAGAUACCCCAGUAGUCCCGGCCCGUAAACGAUGGAUACUAGGUGUUGCGGGUAUCGACCCCUGCAGUGCCGCAGCUAACGCGAUAAGUAUCCCGCCUGGGGAGUACGCACGCAAGUGUGAAACUCAAAGGAAUUGACGGGGGCCCGCACAAGCGGUGGAACAUGUGGUUUAAUUCGAUGCAACGCGAAGAACCUUACCAGGGCUUGACAUCUACAGAAUCUUGCGGAAACGUGAGAGUGCCUUUCGGGGAACUGUAAGACAGGUGGUGCACGGUUGUCGUCAGCUCGUGUCGUGAGAUGUUGGGUUAAGUCCCGCAACGAGCGCAACCCUUGUUGUUAGUUGCUGGCAAGAGCAUGCUCUUGUCGAGCUCUCUAGCGAAACUGCCGGUGAUAAACCGGAGGAAGGUGGGGAAGACGUCAAAUCAUCAUGCCCGUUGUUUUACGGU